GUAUCGGUCACCUUCUGGAUGCCACCGUGACAUGCCAAUUAGCUAACGUAACGAUAAGCCGGUGUGAAUGACCAGUACAACGGCGUUGUGGCAAGGUACUUCCCACUGGGCUAACUAACGUAGCCAAAUUGAUACAUCCCACUUGAUUAUAUUCUGAGUAGGAUAGCAGCCUAUAUUGGUAGUAACCAUCCGGAUGGCACUGAUGACUACUGAUCAGUGGAGAGACUUUGUGCUACAAACCAGUAACAGAACAACGUGAAACACAAUGUGUGCUUUGUUGCUGCUUGCCGACUAAUACUGAGCACUGCUGUCCUGCAGUAUGGAGAGGGAAGUAGUUAGAAGGUGAAGCUAAUAUCAGGCCAGUAUGGACAGGGAAGUAGUUAGAAGGUGAAGCUAAUAUCAGGCCAGUAUGGACAGGGAAGUAGUUAGAAGGUGAAGCUAAUAUCAGGCCAGUAAGGACAGGGAAGUAGUUAGAAGGUGAAGCUAAUAUCAGGCCAGUAUGGACAGGGAAGUAGUUAGAAGGUGAAGCUAAUAUCAGGCCAGUAUGGACAGGGAAGUAGUUAGAAGGUGAAGCUAAUAUCAGGCCAGUAUGGACAGGGAAGUAGUUAGAAGGUGAAGCUAAUAUCAGGCCAGUAAGGACAGGGAAGUAGUUAGAAGGUGAAGCUAAUAUCAGGCCAGUAUGGACAGGGAAGUAGUUAGAAGGUGAAGCUAAUAUCAGGCCAGUAUGGACAGGGAAGUAGUUAGAAGGUGAAGCUAAUAUCAGGCCAGUAUGGACAGGGAAGUAGUUAGAAGGUGAAGCUAAUAUCAGGCCAGUAUGGACAGGGAAGUAGUUAGAAGGUGAAGCUAAUAUCAGGCCAGUAUGGACAGGGAAGUAGUUAGAAGGUGAAGCUAAUAUCAGGCCAGUAAGGACAGGGAAGUAGUUAGAAGGUGAAGCUAAUAUCAGGCCAGUAUGGACAGGGAAGUAGUUAGAAGGUGAAGCUAAUAUCAGGCCAGUAAGGACAGGGAAGUAGUUAGAAGGUGAAGCUAAUAUCAGGCCAGUAUGGACAGGGAAGUAGUUAGAAGGUGAAGCUAAUAUCAGGCCAGUAUGGACAGGGAAGUAGUUAGAAGGUGAAGCUAAUAUCAGGCCAGUAAGGACAGGGAAGUAGUUAGAAGGUGAAGCUAAUAUCAGGCCAGUAUGGACAGGGAAGUAGUUAGAAGGUGAAGCUAAUAUCAGGCCAGUAAGGACAGGGAAGUAGUUAGAAGGUGAAGCUAAUAUCAGGCCAGUAUGGACAGGGAAGUAGUUAGAAGGUGAAGCUAAUAUCAGGCCAGUAAGGACAGGGAAGUAGUUAGAAGGUGAAGCUAAUAUCAGGCCAGUAUGGACAGGGAAGUAGUUAGAAGGUGAAGCUAAUAUCAGGCCAGUAUGGAGAGGGAAGUAGUUAGAAGGUGAAGCUAAUACCAGGCCAGUAAGGAGAGGGAAGUAGUUAGAAGGUGAAGCUAAUAUCAGGCCAGUAUGGAAAGGGAAGUAGCAAGAUGUAAAACUACUGUAUUAACAUCUACAUAACAAUGACUCCAGUGAAAAGGGAAUGAUUCUGUACAUUCUCCCAACUUCGACAGACAACUUUCAAAUUCUCGUUGAAGUUUCUAGCCACAAGCAUGAACUAGCUAGCUGGGAUGACUGACUGGACUGGAUCAGUUUAUCUCCACUCUGCUCUCGCUGCGUGAGACCCCAGGCGUGUCCGUAUA